GUCAACUACCCCCACUUAUAGAAGUGGGGGCUUGCCCUGGCGGGGGCAGGGGAAACUAGCUGACUAGACGGUUCUCCGAAAGGAGAGCAGCGGCCCCGGUAGGCUACCCAAUCACUUUCGGGUGUUUCGCCAGCCCGUAAUAUGUGAG
rnacentral:sRNA from 21 species